rnacentral:rRNA from 1 species
GUGGGGAAUAUUGCACAAUGGGCGAAAGCCUGAUGCAGCAACGCCGCGUGAAGGAAGAAGGGUUUCGGCUCGUAAACUUCUAUCAACAGGGACGAAAAAAAUGACGGUACCUGAAUAAGAAGCCCCGGCUAACUACGUGCCAGCAGCCGCGGUAAUACGUAGGGGGCAAGCGUUAUCCGGAAUUACUGGGUGUAAAGGGAGAGUAGGCGGCAUGGUAAGUUAGAUGUGAAAGCCCGAGGCUUAACCUCGGGAUUGCAUUUAAAACUAUCAAGCUAGAGUACAGGAGAGGUAAGUGGAAUUCCUAGUGUAGCGGUGAAAUGCGUAGAUAUUAGGAAGAACACCAGUGGCGAAGGCGACUUACUGGACUGAAACUGACGCUGAGGCUCGAAAGCGUGGGGAGCGAACAGG